rnacentral:rRNA from 1 species
AACGAACGCUGGCGGCAUGCCUAACACAUGCAAGUCGAACGAGACCUUCGGGUCUAGUGGCGCACGGGUGCGUAACGCGUGGGAACCUGCCCUUAGGUUCGGAAUAACUCCCCGAAAGGGGUGCUAAUACCGGAUAAUGUCUUCGGACCAAAGAUUUAUCGCCUUUGGAUGGGCCCGCGUUGGAUUAGCUAGUUGGUAUGGUAAAAGCCUACCAAGGCGACGAUCCAUAGCUGGUCUGAGAGGAUGAUCAGCCACACUGGGACUGAGACACGGCCCAGACUCCUACGGGAGGCAGCAGUGGGGAAUAUUGGACAAUGGGCGAAAGCCUGAUCCAGCAAUGCCGCGUGAGUGAUGAAGGCCUUAGGGUUGUAAAGCUCUUUUACCCGGGAUGAUAAUGACAGUACCGGGAGAAUAAGCUCCGGCUAACUCCGU